AUCCAGCCAUGCCGCGAUGAGUGAUGAAGGCCCUAGGGUUGUAAAGCUCUUUCACCGGUGAAGAUAAUGACGGUAACCGGAGAAGAAGCCCCGGCUAACUUCGUGCCAGCAGCCGCGGUAAUACGAAGGGGGCUAGCGUUGUUCGGAAUUACUGGGCGUAAAGCGCACGUAGGCGGACCAGCAAGUUAGGGGUGAAAUCCCGGGGCUCAACCCCGGAACUGCCUUUAAAACUGUUGGUCUCGAGUUCGAGAGAGGUGAGUGGAAUUCCGAGUGUAGAGGUGAAAUUCGUAGAUAUUCGGAGGAACACCAGUGGCGAAGGCGGCUCACUGGCUCGAUACUGACGCUNANGUGCGAAAGCGUGGGGAGCAAACAGGAUUAGAUACCCUGGUAGUCCACGCCGUAAACGAUGGAAGCUAGCCGUUGGCAGGUUUACCUGUCGGUGGCGCAGUUAACGCAUUAAGCUUCCCGCCUGGNGAGUACGGUCGCAAGAUUA
rnacentral:rRNA from 1 species